rnacentral:tRNA from 1 species
ACCGUUUGCCUUUGGUUCAGUGGUAGAAUGCUCGCCUGCCACGCGGGCGGCCCGGGUUCGAUUCCCGCCCGAUGGUU